AUUGAACGCUGGCGGCAUGCUUUACACAUGCAAGUCGAACGGCAGCGCGGGCUUCGGCCUGGCGGCGAGUGGCGAACGGGUGAGUAAUACAUCGGAACGUGCCCAGUAGUGGGGGAUAGCUCGGCGAAAGCCGGAUUAAUACCGCAUACGACCUGAGGGUGAAAGCGGGGGAUCUUCGGACCUCGCGCUAUUGGAGCGGCCGAUGGCAGAUUAGCUAGUUGGUGGGGUAAAGGCCUACCAAGGCGACGAUCUGUAGCUGGUCUGAGAGGACGACCAGCCACACUGGGACUGAGACAUGGCCCAGACUCCUACGGGAGGCAGCAGUGGGGAAUUUUGGACAAUGGGCGAAAGCCUGAUCCAGCAAUGCCGCGUGCGUGAUGAAGGCCUUCGGGUUGUAAAGCACUUUUGGCGGGAACGAAAAGGACUGUGCCAAUACCACGGUUCGAUGACGGUACCCGCAGAAUAAGCACCGGCUAACUACGUG
rnacentral:rRNA from 1 species